GACGAACGCUGGCGGCGUGCUUAAUACAUGCAAGUCGAACGGACAGGCCCUGCUCUUGUGCGGUUCUCGAGUGGCGAACGGGUGAGUAACACGUGAGGAUCUCCCCCUUACUUUGGGAUAACAUCAGGAAACAGGGGCUAAUAACGGCGAGGAGUAUCUUCUACAGCGUGGGGCUUGGAAAGAUUCCGCCGUUGUGGAUGGUUUUGCGGCUUAUCGGCUGGUUGGAGGGGGAGGGGCUGACAAAGGCUUUGACAGGUAGCCAGCCGUAGAAGGUGGCCGGGCACCUUGGGCCUGCGAUACGGACCAGACGCCUACGGGCGGCAGCAGUGGGAAAUCUUGCGCAAUGGGCGGACGCCUGAGGCAGCGAUGCCGCGUGCGGGAUGCCGGGCUUCGGGUUGUAAACAGCUUUGGCAUGUGACGAGGCGUGAGUGACGGUAAUGAGUAAGGAAGCCCCGGCUAACUACGUG
rnacentral:rRNA from 1 species